rnacentral:rRNA from 1 species
GACGAACGCNGGCGGCGUGCUUAACACAUGCAAGUCGAACGAAGAGCGAUGGAAGCUUGCUUCUAUCAAUCUUAGUGGCGAACGGGUGAGUAACGCGUAAUCAACCUGCCCUUCAGAGGGGGACAACAGUUGGAAACGACUGCUAAUACCGCAUACGAUCUAACCUCGGCAUCGAGGAUAGAUGAAAGGUGGCCUCUACAUGUAAGCUAUCACUGAAGGAGGGGAUUGCGUCUGAUUAGCUAGUUGGAGGGGUAACGGCCCACCAAGGCGAUGAUCAGUAGCCGGUCUGAGAGGAUGAACGGCCACAUUGGGACUGGGACACGGCCCAGACUCCUACGGGAGGCAGCAGUGGGGAAUCUUCUGCAAUGGACGAAAGUCUGACGGAGCAACGCCGCGUGAGUGAUGACGGCCUUCGGGUUGUAAAGCUCUGUUAAUCGGGACGAAAGNCCUUCUUGCGAAUAGUAGAAGGAUGACGNACC